UUCCCUCAUAGCAUUACUACGCCAAGAGGCUUAAAGAGCUGCCAUGUCCCAGCUCCCCACUGAACAAAGCCCAGCCACCCAAGUCCCACUUCCCACCAUGGUGCCUCACGAAGAUGACGAGGUUCAAUGCUUUCCCUCGAAGGUUCGACGUUCAACUCCCGUUUGAAGUUUGGGAUGAACCUCUGGUGAUGAAGAAUCGGAGAUCGGUGGAAUUUUGAGCGGGAAAUGGGUUCUCCGCUGAAGGAUAGACUGGCGUCUGUUAGGAUCGAGAUUUCAUGAAUUCUCCUGCCGCAAGCCUCAAUUAAAAAAAUAAAUAAAGUG